rnacentral:tRNA from 1 species
UGMUUYUGGAGUGCGGCUGGAUCACCUCCUUUCUAAGAGAAAGAUAAACUAAGGCUAAUUCCAUUAACUCUUCCCUACUCUUUUCUUUUGAUAGGAGAGUUUUUAAAACCAGUGUUAUUUUUGUAAGUUUAAGAGAAGUUUGUGUAUUGAAUUUUUUAUUUUUAAUAUUAAAGAGCUUUGUUAAACUUAGACUUAAGUUUAGGUCAUUUUGGGGGUUUAGCUCAGUUGGCUAGAGCAUCGGCUUUGCAAGCCGAGGGUCAGGGGUUCGAGUCCCUUAACCUCCAUUGGGCUUAUGUCCUAAAUCGUAAUUAAGUAUGUUUUUAAGUAACUUUGUUAAAGUAAUUGUUGGAAUGUGAAACAGAGGAAGUUAAAAUUUCUGGGUUAAGUUGAGAUCUGUUGAUAUUAAGAAGAAUCUCUAGAAGCAAAAGCAAGCUUUCGAUAAAACCCGAAGUUGUUUCGCUAAAGUGCAAGGAUUAAACAGGAUUGUAUUUUCCAGUAGCCUAUUUUAUAAACGAUCUGCAUUUAGUAAAUAGUUUUUAGUUAAGAAAUAAUGUAGAUUGCUAAGUGUGAUGCCUGAAAGAAGGACAAGUAUUGUAGCGAGCCUAAAUCCUUGUUAUCGUUGCCAGUAUUUAGUGGUAGGGAUUCGGAUAAGACUGCCAUUUAUAAGUUGGAGGAAGGCAAAGAUUGCAUUAAAUCGUUAUCGCUCUUAUGUUUUAGGUUACAAGUUUGCCACAAUAACCCAAAAAAAGCUAAGCAAAAUGCUAUAAAGCAGAUUUCAGUUUGGAUUUGCCCGACACUCAAUGGCAUGAAGUUGUAAUUGUUAGUAAUCGUAUAUACCUUAAUAUAGAAAUUGAAUAAAUUUUUGUUUUUUUAAUUAUAGCUUAAAACAGUAUUGUCGUAAUUAAAACAAUGGAAUACAUUGGGACCAGGAUGAGUUGAACAUCCGACCUCAGGUUUAUCAGACA